rnacentral:rRNA from 1 species
AGUCAUAUGCUUGUCUCAAAGAUUAAGCCAUGCAUGUCUCAGUACAAGCCAAAUUAAGGUGAAACCGCGAAAGGCUCAUUAAAUCAGUUAUGGUUCAUUAGAUCGUACCCACAUUUACUUGGAUAACUGUGGUAAUUCUAGAGCUAAUACAUGCAAACAGAGCUCUGACCGGAGACGGAAGGAGUGCUUUUAUUAGAUCAAAACCAAUCGGUGGCAGUUUAGUUUCGGCUAUACUGUUUAUCGCAUUAUUUGGUGACUCUGAAUAACUUUUGGCUGAUCGCACGGUCUUGCACCGGCGACGCAUCUUUCAAAUGUCUGCCUUAUCAACUGUCGAUGGUAGGAUCUGCGCCUACCAUGGUUGUAACGGGUAACGGGGAAUCAGGGUUCGAUUCCGGAGAGGGAGCCUGAGAAACGGCUACCACAUCCAAGGAAGGCAGCAGGCGCGCAAAUUACCCACUCCCGGCACGGGGAGGUAGUGACGAAAAAUAACGAUACAGGACUCAUCCGAGGCCCUGUAAUCGGAAUGAGUACACUUUAAAUCCUUUAACAAGGAC